rnacentral:rRNA from 1 species
AACGAACGCUGGCGGCAGGCUUAACACAUGCAAGUCGAGCGCCCCGCAAGGGGAGCGGCAGACGGGUGAGUAACGCGUGGGAAUCUACCCAUCUCUACGGAAUAACGCAUGGAAACGUGUGCUAAUACCGUAUACGUCCUUCGGGAGAAAGAUUUAUCGGAGAUGGAUGAGCCCGCGUUGGAUUGGCUAGUUGGGGGGGUAAAGGCGUACCAAGGCGACGAUGCAUAGCUGGUCUGAGAGGAUGAUCAGCCACACUGGGACUGAGACACGGCCCAGACUCCUACGGGAGGCAGCAGUGGGGAAUAUUGGACAAUGGGCGCAAGCUUGAUCCAGCCAUGCCGCGUGAGUGAUGAAGGCCCUAGGGUUGUAAAGCUCUUUCACCGGUGAAGAUAAUGACGGUAACCGGAGAAGAAGCCCCGGCUAACUUCGUGCCAGCCGCCGCAGUAAUAC